GGAGGUUCCAUCCCACAAUGCACCAAGCUGGGGCAAUAUGGACCAGGGGGAGGGGGUUCCAUCCCACAAUGCACCGGGCUGGGGCGAUAUGGCCCAGGAGGAGGGAGUCCCAUCCCACAAUGCACCGGGCUGGGGCGAUAUGGACCAGGGGGAGGGGGUUCCAUCCCACAAUGCACCAGGCUGGGGCGAUAUGGCCCAGGAGGAGGGGGUUCCAUCCCACAAUGCACCGGGCUGGGGCGAUAUGGCCCAGGGGGAGGGGGUUCCAUCCCACAAUGCACCGGGCUGGGGCGAUAUGGCCCAGGGGGAGGGAGUCCCAUCCCACAAUGCACCGGGCUGGGGCGAUAUGGACCAGGGGGAGGGGGUUCCAUCCCACAAUGCACCGGGCUGGGGCGAUAUGGCCCAG